CGAAAGUGUGAAGGAGCAAUACCGCGUGUCGGACGAAGGCCUUCGGGUCGUAAACGACUUUCUCAGGGACGAACAAAUGACGGUACCUGAGGAAUAAGAGGUUGCUAACUCUGUGCCAGCAGCAGCGGUAAUACAGAGACCUCAAGCGUUAUCCGGAUUUAUUGGGCGUAAAGAGUGCGCAGGCUGAGCGCCAAGUCAGUUGUUAAAUCCCGAAGCUUAACUUCGGAAUCGCAAUUGAUACUGGCGUUCUAGAGGAUGGGAGAGGUAAGCGGAAUUGCCGGUGUAGGGGGUAAAAAUCCGUUGAUAUCGGCAGGAACACCAAAUGCGAAGGCAGCUUACUGGAACAUUUCUGACGCUGGGGCACGAAAGCGUGGGGAGCGAAGAGGAUUAGAUACCCUCGUAGUCCACGCUGUAAACGUUGGAUAUUAGACUUUGGAAGUAUCGACCCUUUCAGAGUCGUUGCAAAAAGUUAACGCGUUAAAUAUCCCGCCUGGGAAGUACGGCCGCAAGGUUA
rnacentral:rRNA from 1 species